UACGAAGGGGGCUAGCGUUGUUCGGAAUUACUGGGCGUAAAGCGCACGUAGGCGGAUCGAUCAGUCAGGGGUGAAAUCCCAGGGCUCAACCCUGGAACUGCCUUUGAUACUGUCGAUCUGGAGUAUGGAAGAGGUGAGUGGAAUUCCGAGUGUAGAGGUGAAAUUCGUAGAUAUUAGGAAGAACACCAGUGGCGAAGGCGGCUCACUGGCCCGGUACUGACGCCGAGGCGCGAAAGCGUGGGGAGCAAACAGG
rnacentral:rRNA from 1 species